AUACUCCAGAGGAUAGAUCAUUGUAACGAACGCCAUUACGGACAUCGACAGGGCAUUGUAGUCGCGGGAUUGCAACACGAUCUGAAAAUCAACUUUCAACCUUUAUUCAAUGAAGAAAAGUAUGAUCUGCAGAGACUAAUUGAUCAUUAAGUUAAUUCCACGGACCCGAUUGCUUUUCUAUGAGUUAUGUAAGUGUUACCUUGUGCUCCAAGAGAAUCAACGUGAGGACCUUCAAGCAUA
rnacentral:lncRNA from 1 species